CAGUGUUUCCAGCAACACUGCACCUUGUAGUUGUCACUCUCUCUCACACAGACACAUAUAGAAAGUAUCUAAUACAUACUGUGAUAGGGGAGACCUGUGCUGGCUAUCAGGCGCAUGCAUGAUCCUGCAGCAGGAGGUCGGGAGUCUCGUGGGAUCCGCCUGUCAAUCACGGCAAUGACACAGAGAGGUUGGGUGAAGGAGAAACGACAG